GAUGAAGAACGCAGCGAAAUGCGAUAAGUAAUGUGAAUUGCAGAAUUCAGUGAAUCAUCGAAUCUUUGAACGCAUCUUGCGCUCCUUGGUAUUCUGAGGAGCAUGCCUGUUUGAGUGUCAUUAAAUUCUCAACUACACUGACUUUGAAUUGGUGUGGCUUGGAUUUGGGGGGAAAAUUGUUGUGGGCUUUUUGUAUAGUCUGCUCCCCUGAAAUUGAUUAGCGGUACCAUUGUGGAACUGUCUACAGGUGUGAUAAUUAUCUACAUCUUAGACAUCUGCUGGAAUGCUGCUUUCUAAACCUUACUUGUAUUGACAAUCUUGACCUCAAAUCAGGUAGGACUACCCGCUGAACUUAAGCAUAUCAAUAAGCGGAGGA
rnacentral:misc_RNA from 1 species